UCAUGAUAUUAAAUAGCCGCAAUCGUGCUAAGGUAGCAUAAUCAUUUGUCUUUUAAAUAAAGACUAGAACAAAAGAUUUAACAUUUUCAAUAUUUUAUUAUAUUCAAUUUUCAAAAAUAUUUUAAAUAUAAAAAAAUAUUUAUUUAUAAGAAAGACGACAAGACCCUAUCGAACUUAACUUAAGUUAAACUGGGGUAGUAAAUCAAUUAUCAUUUUAGUUUCAAAAACUAUAUAAAAAUCCAAAAACUUAAAUAAUUCAGUUACCAUAGGGAUAACAGCGCAAUUUUAUUUUAAAGUUCUUAUAUAAAAUAUAGAUUACGACCUCGAUGUUGAAUUAAUAAUCCAUUUUAAAGCAAAAUUUAAAUAAGGAAGUCUGUUCGACUUUUAAAAAAUUACGUGAUCUGAGUUCAGACCGGAGAGAUGUGUGCUAUAGAGUUUACGACCUCGAUGUUGUAUCAGGACAUCCCGAUGGUGCAGCCGCUAUUAAAGGUUCGUUUGUUCAACGAUUAAAGUCCUACGUGAUCUGAG
rnacentral:rRNA from 1 species